rnacentral:misc_RNA from 1 species
GAUGAAGAACGCAGCGAAAUGCGAUAAGUAAUGCGAAUUGCAGAAUUUCCGUGAGUCAUCGAAUCUUUGAACGCACCUUGCGCUCCUUGGUAUUCCGAGGAGCAUGCCUGUUUGAGUGUCAUGAAAUUCUCAACCUUUUCAGCUUUCUUUGUUGAUCAGGCUUGGAUGUGGGAGUAUGCGGGCUUCUCAGAAGUCGGCUCUCCUGAAAUGCAUUAGCGGGACCUUUGUUGCCUGGCUUUGGUGUGAUAAUUAUCUACGCCAUUGUGGUCAAGCAGCUUAAAAUGAGGUUUCAGCUUCUAACCGUCUCCCCUGAGACAACUUUUUGACAAUUUGACCUCAAAUCAGGUAGGACUACCCGCUGAACUUAAGCAUAUCAAUAAGCGGAGGA